UCGAUUCGAUUUACCUUCGGGUAUUGAGGAUGGCGGACGGGUGAGUAACGCGUAAGGAACUUGCCUCUUGGUCUGGGACAACUGUUGGAAACGACAGCUAAUACCGGAUAUUAUGAGAUUCUCGCAUGGGAAACUUAUGAAAGCUAUAUGCGCCAAGAGAGAGCCUUGCGUUCCAUUAGCUAGUUGGUGGGGUAACGGCCCACCAAGGCGACGAUGGAUAGCCGGCCUGAGAGGGUGAACGGCCACAAGGGGACUGAGACACGGCCCUUACUCCUACGGGAGGCAGCAGUGGGGAAUAUUGGACAAUGGGCCACAAGCCUGAUCCAGCAAUUCUGUGUGCACGAUGAAGGUCUUCGGAUUGUAAAGUGCUUUCAGUUGGGAAGAAGAAAGUGACGGUACCAACAGAAGAAGCGACGGCUAAAUACGUGCCAGCAGCCGCGGUAAUACGUAUGUCGCAAGCGUUAUCCGGAUUUAUUGGGCGUAAAGCGCGUCUAGGCGGAAAAAUAAGUCUGAUGUUAAAAUGCGGGGCUCAACUCCGUAUUGCGUUGGAAACUGUUUUUCUAGAGUACUGGAGAGGUGGGCGGAACUACAAGUGUAGAGGUGAAAUUCGUAGAUAUUUGUAGGAAUGCCGAUGGAGAAGUCAGCUCACUGGACAGAUACUGACGCUAAAGCGCGAAAGCGUGGGGAGCAAACAGGAUUAGAUACCCUGGUAGUCCACGCCCGUAAACGAUGAUCACU
rnacentral:rRNA from 1 species